CAGUAGCCGCGGGAAAACGAAGGGUGCAAGCGUUACUCGGAAUUACUGGGCGUAAAGCGUGCGUAGGUGGUGGUUUAAGUCCGUUGUGAAAGCCCUGGGCUCAACCUGGGGACUGCGCUUGAUACGGUCGAGCUAGAGGAUGGAAGAGGGUCGUGGAAUUCCCAGUGUAGAGGUGAAAUUCGUAGAUAUUGGGAAGAACACCGGUGGCGAAGGCGGCGACCUGGUCCAUUACUGACGCUGAGGCGCGACAGCGUGGGGAGCAAACAGGAUUAGAUACCCCCGUAGUCCCUGUCUCUUAUAC
rnacentral:rRNA from 1 species